GGGAGCGUCCGCGGCCCGCGCGCCCGCGCGGCGGAGGAGAGGUGUUAAGUGUGAUGCUUCCAUAAUACAUUUGGAUGCUGUCAGCUAAGUUCACUUCUGAACUAAGGGGUUCCUCCAAAUGUUGGCUGAAAUUCAUCCCAAGGCUGGUCUGCAAAGUCUGCAAUUCAUAAUGGAGCUACUGUACUGGCUAUUGGAAGGAGGAGAUUCUGAAGAUAAGGAGAUUCAGCCGUUGGUCUUUGAAAUUUCCUGUGAUGUGUUUCAAUCUAGAUGCAAAGAACAUGGAAAAAUCAAAGUGCUCGAGUGGUUUAAAUAUGUUUUGGGUAUUCCUGUUUAUAGACUAUAAUACUUUUCCAAUUAAAAUCCUCAGUUGUCACGCAGAAGAAGGUUAAGCUGUAUUUGAUUGCCAGUUUUACUGAAAAUGCUUAGUAUUUUACAGUAUCACCAAAUAUAUUUUGUUUAGCCAAGGUAUAGGAAAAAUAAAAUAAAUUGUAUAGGUU
rnacentral:lncRNA from 10 species